CUAAGGGACAUAUUAGUUUGUUAUCAUCAAAAUAAGAGCAUAAUGAUUUCUUGAGUCAACAAAAAGAGUGCUGGGAGUAGAAGAAACAAUUUCAGAAGGAAGGCGAGAGGGUGACUCUACUGGGGGUCAUCGAGACACCCCCUAUCUGCGUUUGGAUCUUCCGGUGUUUAAUGGCGACGAAACGCUUGAGUGGGUUUUCAAAUGUGAGAGGUAUUUUGAUGUCAACCAACUGAAUAAGAGAGAACGCCUCACGGCAGCAAGGGUGUGCAAGGAAGGACUAGCUCACGGCUGGUUGAAAUGGAAAGAGAAGCGAAGGGCAUUCAGAAGUUGGGCAGAAUUUAGAGAGGCAGUGUUGAAAUGAUUUCGAGGAAGACAUGAACAGACUCCCAGAAAACAGCUAUUAGCUCUCAAACAGACGAAUUCUAUUUUGGAAUACCAAGGUCGAUUCGAGCUGCUAUCAUCGACGGUGGAUGACAUGUCAGAAGAGACUCUAACUGACUUAUUCAUGAAUGGGCUAACAAAGGAUGUUCGAGCGAAGACCAAGCUCUUUCAUCCUAGAGACUUGGAAGAGGCGAUGCAACGUGCAGUAGAAAUAGAGGAGAAGAACGAGAUAAUUAAUGGAAAAUAUGAGAUCCGACCCAACCAACCCAAUCCAAAAAACUCUCUAGCCCGCUAUACAAAUCAAAUUACACUCAACAGCCCAACUCGUCCACAAUCAACUCAGGCCCAAAGCCAGACAGCAUUCAGCCCUAUGCUAAAUUUUAAUCCAAAUCAGGCUCAUAAUACUAAACCGCCACAAAAUGUGGUACCCAGCUCAACUCGCUGCAUUGAGGAUACUCGUUUCAUCCCACAAAAUCGUUCAAAUAUCCCCCAAAAUUUACAGCAACUGUUAGGGCUCCUUUCAACUCAGGUGCAGCAACGUCCACCUUACUACAAGAUGGCAAUUUACGACGCCUCUCCGAUGAGGAGUACCAAUCUAAAGUGGAAAAGGGAUUGUGCUUUCGAUGCGAUGAAAAGUUCGUUCCAAGUCACAGGUGUAGAUUCAAGCAGUUGAAAGUGAUGAUAGCAUGUGAAGAAGAGGAAGAAGAGGAAGCUGUUGACGAGGAGGAGCCAACACAUGUGGAGGAACGUGAAAUAGAGGCCACGUUGAACUCAAGUUCAGUCAUGGGAUUCAACACCCUUAAAACGAUGAAGGUGCUAGGAACUAUAGAAGGGAAAGAGGUGGUGAUCCUCUUGGACAGCGGAGUCACCCAUAAUUUCAUCUCAGAUAGGGUAGUUACAAAGCUAAACAUUCCAGUGAAGCCUGCCAAAUUUGUUAUAGUCUUGGGUGACGAUCGGAGGGUAGAGGGACUAGGGAGAUGUGAAGAUAUCACAAUUAGUGUUUAGGGAAUCCAAAUUACAAAGAAUUUUCUUCCAUUCAAGUUAGGAGGAGUAGAUUUAAUUUUAGGCGUGGAUUGGUUUAGUAGACUUGGAGAGGUAAAGAUUAAUUGGAAAAACCAAACUAUAGAAUUUAUGUGAGAGGGAAGGAAAGUUGAAAUUAAAGGGGAUGUCUCACUUACCCGUCUGGAAACCUCACUUAAAACAUUGAUGAAAUCUAUGUGUAAAGGAGGGGAAGGCUAUUGGAUAGAGAUGAGUUCAAUCUUGGGAGAGGAAUUACAAAAUGGAGAGUAUUCUGCACUUGAGCUGAGUGACCUACUAGAAGAAUUUCAAUCUUUAUUUUCUAAGCCACACGAUAUUCCACCCCGCAGUCGACAGGAUCAUGCCAUUCGUCUAUUGGAAGGAGCCACUCCUCCCAACAUUCGACCUUAUCAGUACCCGCAUUAUCAAAAAAAUGAGAUAAAGCGCAUUGUUCAAGAGAUGUUAUUGGCUAGAAUAAUUAGACCCAGCGUAAGUCUAUUCUCGAGUCUAGUAAUUUUGGUCAGAAAGGACGAGGAAUGGAGAUUUUGCGUAGACUACUGAACAUUAAAUAAAAUCACCAUUCCGGAUAAGUUUCCCGUUCCAACGAUCGACGAAUUGUUAGACAAACUUGUGGGGGCAGAAAUUUUCAGUAAGCUAGAUCUCAAAUCAGGCUAUCAUCAGAUACGAAUCAAAGAAGAGGAUGUGGAAAAGAUUGCCUUUCGAACACACAAGGGAUAUUACGAAUUCCUAGUCAUGCCUUUCGGGCUUUCGAAUGCUCCAACAAUGUUCCAAAGCAUCAUGAAUGACAUAUUCAGACCAUUUUUGGGAAAAUUUGUUUUGGUUUUUUUUGACAAUAUACUUGUGUAUAACAAGGGCAUGCAGGAGCACAAGUGGCACUUUAAGGAAGUCUUGCAACUACUGCAGAAAAAUAAUUUGGUCAUUAACAGAAAAAAAUGCUCUUUUGGCAGUGAAAGAAUUGAAUAUUUGGGGCAUAUUGUGUCAAGGAAAGGAGUGGAAGCGGACCCCAAGAAGAUUGAAGAUGUGCGGGAUUGGCCUAUGCCGAAGGACAUACGUGAGCUGAAAGGAUUCUUGGGUCUAACAGGUUAUUAUCAAAGAUUCGUUCGGCGGUAUGAAAAGAUAGCAGAACCGCUCACCAACCUGCUAAAAAAAAUGCCUACAAGUGGUCGGAGGAGGCACAAAAAGCUUUCGAAGACUUGAAGGCAGCCAUGAUCUCCCUUCCAGUUUUAGCCAUGCCUAAUUUUUCCAAAGAAUUUAUUGUAGAAACAGAUGCUUCAGGGUGUGGUUUGGGUGUUGUCCCUAUGCAAGAGAGGCGUCCUAUCGUAUUUUUAAGCAAAACAUUAUCAAUUCAAAACAGGGGAAAAUCAGUAUAUGAAAGAGAGUUGAUGGCUAUAGUGUUGGCCUUCCAAAAAUGGAGACAUUAUCUUUUAGGAAGGCACUUCAAGGUGCAUACAGACCAAAGGAGUUUAUGUUUCUUAACUGAAUAGCGGAUUAUCGGUCACGAGCAGCAGAAGUGGUUGGUAAAAAUGCUAGGAUUCGACUUCGAGAUAAUUUACAAGCCGAGGUGCGAAAAUAAGGUGGCUGAUGCUUUAUCCAGGAAUCCAAAAUUCAGUAAUGAAUUUAAAGCUAUCUCUGUUAGUCAGAUUAUGGGAAUCGAGGAGGUACAGCAGGAAGCAUUACAAGAUGAAAAACUCUAGCAACUUACUCAAAAGUUACUCGGCCAACAGGGAGACUGUAAAGGUUAUGCUUUAAGGAAUGAUACUCUUCUUUAUAAAGGCAGGUUGGUCUUACCCAAAGGGUCCAGAUUUAUUCCCAUGUUUAUCAAGGAAUUUCAUUCCUCUCCUUAUGGUGGGCACUCGGGGUUCUUCAGAAUGUUCAAAAGAAUAAAACAGGUGUUGUUUUGGGAAGGAAUGAAAAAGGAUAUAAAACAAUUUGUGGUUGAAUGUGAUGUGUGUUAAAGAGUCAAAUAUAAAGCAAUGUCGCCCGUCGGCUUACUACAACCUUUGCCAAUACCAACCAACAUUUGGGAAGAUCUCUCAAUGGACUUCAUAAUGGAUCUGUUGAAAGUCAAGGGCGCUGAUGCUAUAUUGGUCGUGAUUAAUAGAUUAAUAAAGUAUGGUCAUUUCAUUGCAAUCCGACACCUAUAUACUGCCAAAGACAUAGCUGAGAUUUUUGUGAAAGAAAUAGUAUGACUUCAUGGCGUCCCAAAGACAAUAGUAACUGAUCGAGAUAGGGUAUUCAUGAGUAAUUUUUGGCGGGAACUGUUCAAGGCUACAGGGACCUCUUUAAAAUUCAGUUCGGCUUACCAUCCUCAAACGGACAGGUAAAUCGAAGUCGUCAAUAGAAGCCUUGAAGACUACCUACGCUGUUUCUGCAUGGGUCAGUCGAAAACAUGGGUGAAAUGGUUAGUUUGGGCUGAGUAUUAGUACAAUACGGCCUACCACAGUGCAGCAAGGAUGCACCAUUCAAAGUCGUGUAUGGGAGGGAGCUACCACCCCUCCUCAGACUGGUGGAAAAAGAUUCAAAAAUUGAGGAAGUAAAUAGCAUAAUCAGGGAGCGGAAUAACAUCUUGGAUCACCUAAAAGAUAAUCUCUGCAAAGCUCAGUCAUGAAUGAAGAGAAACGUUGAUAAGUACCAUCGGGAUAUUGAAUUCCAGGUAGGCGAUUUUGUUUUCCUCAAACUUCAACCAUACUGCCUUCGUUCGCUGGCAUCACGCCCGAACGAAAAGUUAUGUCCUCGUUUCUACGGUCCAUACGAAGUUAUAGCAAGGGUGGGAAAGGUCGCAUAUAAAUUACAACUCCUUGAAUCUGCACAAAUUCACCCUAUCUUCCAUGUAUCCCAACUCAAGAAGCAAAUUGGAUCCAACAUUAUCUGCCAACAAUUACCAACUUGCUUAAACGAAGAAGGUGAGUUAGAAGUGAAGUCUGACAAUGUAAUUGCUCACAGGUAUAAUCCACGAGGAGAAUUGGAGGUGUUAGUCAAGUGGAGAGGCUUGCCAGCUUGUGAAAAUUCAUGGGAACUCUACACUAAAAUCCACCAACUUUUCCCAACAAUGCACCUUGAGGACAAGGUGCCUCUUGAUGGGGGCGGUAAUGUUAGGGAAAGGGUCUACGUGAGAAAGAAAGGAAGGAAAGAAACUGGAUAAGGGAGAACAACUGGCCAAGUGGAAGAGUUGACUAGGAGCAGAAAGUAUCUGGAAGGGCAAGAAGCAGACACGCACUUUAGGAGACAAGCAACAGACAAUCUGAAUGAGUCAAUACCCAUGCUAUCAGAAAUUAAGACCACAGAAAUAUUAGAUGCUGAGGUGGCAACUAGGGAAGAGGCAGAUGGCUACAAAAGGAUGAAUGAAAUAGAGAAAGGGGGGAGAGAUCAGAAAGAAGAAAAACAUUAGUGAAGGAGAGACCCAGCCUCUCGAAAGCUGGAAAACGGUCCUAGAGUCCUGUUUUGCUUAUUGUGUGUUAUUUUGUGAAAGGAGAAUUGUACUCAACUUAUCAUUUGAUUCCGGGAAUAUUUGGAUGAAAUAUAAAAUUAUUUUGCUAUUUCAUUGAUAUAAUCACUGUUUACAUUGAACACUGUUACAUUGUUUUUUUUAUACAUUUCAUAAAUACAAACAAUCAUCUCCAUCACUGAAGCCAAGAAGUCAUCGCCAUCAGUGCAGCUGAACAGUAGCCAGUUGAUCAUUCUGGAACCAGGCUCCUAUCAUAAUUUUGGCUAGCAGUUGUAAUCAAACAUAGUCAUUGAAAAUAGUAAUUGUAUUGAAGAAUUUAUUUUGUAAACUUCACCAAGAAAUAUUCAAUACAAUACAUAUUUUCAUCAUCUACUUUGAUUGUGUUACAUUUCUUUUUCUAUUACAUUGCUUGUAUGCCCUUGCUGCUGUUGUGAAUGGUUUGCUGGAAAUUGUGGAGAGUACAGAAGAGGUAGCCCAGAAAAGGUUCUGCAGUCAGUUAUAGGCCCAGUAUUAAUGGAUGACCAGAAAGAAGCUGAGGCUGUAGAAGAGCUCACAAAGGCACUAGCUUUCAAGCCUGACUUACAAAUGCUUCAUCUGAGAGCAGCCUUUUAUGAGUCAAUGGGGGACCUUUCAUCUGCUAUCCAAGACUCUGCAGCAGCUCUUUGCUUCGACCCAAAUCACAUGGACAUACUUGAUCUGUAUAAUAGAGCAAGGAAACAAAACAAUCAUCCACAGAAGUGAGAUUCACUCCCACUUUGGUCAACUAAGUUAUUGCGUUGAAGGAGGCUAUACUGUCAGGCUUCAGGGAAGAAAAUCACAUGGAAUUGCUUUACAGCUAACUUGUUCCUGGACUUCAUGGGCUCUACAAACAUCCAAUGACUUAGCCAGCGAUAGCAAGGAGGAGAGGAUUACAUCAAGAGAAAGGAGGAACAUGAGAGUCGCUGAGGAAUGCAUAUAUGCAUUAUGGAUUAUGAUGAUUCCUUGGAACAAAGAACUGCAGGCUACCACUCAAGACCAUUCUGUUAAAAAAACUGGUUAAACUUCCUCUCUGGCAUAUAAAGAUGGCAACCUGUUGACUCGCAUGCUUUGUUAUUGUUCUAGUAAGGGUGUAGGAUUCACAAAUUGUCUUCCAUUAGUAUCUAAUUUUCCUUUUUUCCUUCCAAGGAAAAAAAUUUAAAGUCCACAUUGUACAUGAAGAGAUUUUAAUCUCUUAUUUGUAAAUACAUUCUUCUUUCUUUUUCUCAA